AUUUGCCACGCGAAGACCUGAAAUUUAUCGGUGCGGGAAUUCUUAAACCUUGCUAGAUAUGUUUUUAUUUUGACAUAAAUAAUUUUU
ensembl:ncRNA K04G11.8 ncRNA